UUGAACAGAGGGGAUUUGGUUGUCAGAUCUUUGACCAACACAUGAAAUGAUAACUCUUCUUUGGCGCAUUCCACUAGCUGAUUGGUAAACAUUCUUUCCAAUGUGUAUUUCCUGAAAACAUUUAAGGAUUCACCCGUCACCGAUGAUGUAGAAAUAUAACAUUUGAAGAGUCUAACUCCACCAUCUAUGGGUUUAUCCUUGCUUCCACCACCAGAAGGAUAAGCUCCAAGAGGAGAGUAACACUUUGGGCAAGCAAAUUCAAUCCAGUCGACAUUCUUCGACACAUUCGAUGCUUUCGCCAUAAAAACAUCCUCAAGAAACCCAUCAAGAAGAAACUUCUUAUCAAGUGUAAGUUUCUGCUCCAACUGAAAACUCUCAUUAGAGUCAGGCAAGUCAUGUACACAACAUCCAGGUAGUGAUUCAUUACCUAUACAACGCAAAAUCGAGUCAUCCGCUUGACCACAAACACUCUCACUUCCAUUCUCAUGACUCUCAGCAUUUCCUUCACUACUUCUAGAACCCGGUUCAACUACACCAAGAUCACAACUCAGAGCUAAACUCGAAUCAAAUUCGUCUACAAUUCCACCUUUAUCAGAAAAGCUACACUCUACAAGAUCAUCCUUGCUAAGCAAAACAGUAGUAGCACUAAGUAAACACAACCCACUAGAGCAAGUAUACGAAUUCGUGUACUUAACUACCAUCUUCUCACUAAUUCCACCAAAUGAACAACAACAAGUACCAAACCAAUUAUCAGCAGAUUCUCUCCAAUUAAUAGACGGCAUUUCAGAGAAAUCGAAAAGUUCCUUCUUUGUUAACCUAUUUGAGCAAUUUCUACAGUAAAAGUGAACUCCUCCCAUUAAAGAUAGAGUCUUUAGAUCAUAACCCAUCACUAAAGGCUUCGACUUUUCUCUAGAAUCAGUCACUAAAUUGAAGUCUGAGACUAGAGGAUGAUCAACAGGGAGUAACAGAACAAGUCUUACCUCGAUGUGAUCCUCUAAAGCUUUGAAAUUUACAUGAGAUUCAGUAUCAAGUAAAACCUUAGGAAUCGGAACAUGAAGAGAAACAAUCUCUUCUUUGCGUGUGGCUUCUUCAUUGAUCCAUGUGACGAGAAGUUGAGAUUUUUCGAGGAUGAUUGAGACAUUGAGGAUUUUGCAGUGGAUCUUAGGGUUUGUUGUGGAAUCGAAAAGAAAGAGACGAAGAUUAGGAGAAUGAGAUUGAGCUUCCCAUGUGUAUCUCCAUGUCCUCUGGGUUUUAGGGUUUUGCUCCAUUGAAAAUUGCUCUGUUUCGAUGUUUUUCCAUUGAUAAAUUAGACGGGUUUUCAAACCCGACCUGGUUCAACCCGACCCGUAUUCAUCUUGAGUUUUUAAUUUGUUUUUGUGCAAAUCAUAUACUCUCUCUAUUCAUGGAAGUUUGAUGUUAUAGUGGGUCUGAUUGGUAACAAGCUGUUAGCUGUUAGCUGGAGCGGUUAGCUGGAGCUGUUAGCUGUUAGAGAAUACUGCAAAGCUGUACAAAAGAAUAAAACACGAAAGCUGUACAAAAAAUUAACGCAGAACAAAUUUUAAAAUUUAUUCUGAUUGGAAACAUCAUAGCGGUACACAUAAUAAAUAAUAUUAAGAAUUUAGAAAGAAAGAAAAAAUUAUAUAGAAAUAUACUUUAGUAUAUAAUUAUAUAUGAAAAUUAAGAUUAUAUAGAAUGAACAAUAUUUUAUUGUUAGAAUAAUAAUAUGAAUUUACUAGUCCUAUAAUAAAUAAAAUUUUCUUUAUUUUGAGCAAUAUAACAUUCCAAAAUAAUUUUUUGAGAAAAAAACCAUUAUUUCUAAUGAGAUUUUUUCAUAGGCUGUAUUAUUUACUUUUUCGGAAAUCUUUAUCUGAACAUUCGAGACUUUUUUUUUUGCAUUAUACAUAGUUACAAUUAUAUUUUAUAAAGUUUAAUUAUGCGGUUAAUAAUACGGUUAACCAUGCGGCUAAUCGUACUGUUAAAUAACGGUUUUGAUACGUUUCCGGUAUAUUAACGGUUACAGUUAGUAUAUUUUUUUUAACCAUAACUAAUUUAGUUUUACGGUGAAUGGUUAUGGUUUUCAACUGUUUUAUACAGUUACGGUUGAAAAACGGUCCAGUUACGAUCCAAAAUACGGUUAUGGUUAGCUUUUGGUCAUGCUUACUAGGCAUGACCAAAAGCUAACCGUAACCAUAUGUUGUACCGUAACCGGACCGUUUCUCAACCGUAACCGUAUAAAAUGGUUAAAAACCGUAACCGUAAAAAAUAAUUAGUUACAGUUAAAAAAUAUAUUAACCGUAACCGUUAAUUAACGGUAAAUAUAUGAAAACCGUUAUUUAACCAUAUGGUUAACCGCAUAGUUAAAACUUUAAAAAUAUAAUUGUAACUCCAUAUAAUGCAAAAAAAUUAUCGAAUAUUCAGAUUAAGAUUUUCAAAAAAGUAAAUGAUACCGCAUAUGAAAAAAUCUACGUUCUAAAAAAUGGUCUUUUUCUCAAACAAAUAUGUUAUACUGUUAUUUUGCUCGAAAUGAAGAAAAUUUGGUUUGUAACAUAUUUUUUGAUUUAUGAAAAGUAUUAUAAUAAGUUAGGUAACUCGUAAGAUUUUGCCUCCGAUAUUAACCGUAUUGUAGUCAUCAAAUAACUAUAACCAUAAUUAUCCGUAACCGUUGUAACCGUAACCGUAUUUAACCGUAACUGUUAUAACCGUAUUUAACCGUAACUGUUAUAACCGUAUUUAACCGUAACCGUUAUAACCGUAUUUAACCGUAACCGUUAUAACCGUAUUUAAUCGUAACUGUAUUUAACCGUAACCGUUUUAAUUUAUUUUUGUUUUUGUCCAAAAAAACAGUUUUUUUUUUAUAGUGUACCGCUUUUCAUAAAGUUUUUGUGAUUGGUAACUGUCAAAGCUGUAUAAAGCUGUACAGCUUUAAAAUUGGAUACCAAUAAUAGCCAGUGUUUUUUUUUUUUUUUUGUCAUCCGCAAUUAAUUAGAGCUCAAAAGACUCAUUCCUGAGGAAUGUUGUUUACAUAGGUGAUAUGAAGCGGUUCUGUACGAACUUUUCGUGCCAGAUUAUCCGCCUUACUAUUAGCCCUACGAGAAAUUAAAGAUAAAGAAAAAGAUGAAAACUCCUCUUUGUCGCUAUGAAAUUCCUCCAAAUACACUGAAAACGUCGGCCAUUCGGUUGGAGAAGACACCAUCUUCACUAGGUCUGAACAGUCUGUAAAGAACGCUACCUCUUGGUUAUCUACACCAAUCAUACACAUCAUCGCCCAGAGAAGGGCCUCGACUUCGGCAUGUAGUGGAGAUAGACUUCUACGGAGUUUCGCAGCUCCCAUGGUUGGCGGCUCUCCAUUUGACGAUGUACAGAACCAGCCUGUACCAGAGAACCUAUCACAUUCUUUCCAUGAUCCAUCCACAAAACAACGGUAUUCCGAAUACUCCGCCUCAAGUGAAAUAUCCCUCACUCGAUCUUCAUUUACCAAGUCCACAGAACCAUGAUUUUCAUUAUGGAGCUCAAUUUGAGCUGACUGCCACAAUUGUGCCUCUUUUUCCGCUAAUCGUAAUACUUCUGCUGGGUCUGUAUCUAUGUUUUCAAAGAUCUUUUCGUUCCUUGCUUUCCAAAUAUACCAAAUAAUCCAUGGGAAGGCUGAUGAAUCAAAUUCCGUAGGUAUUCUCCAAAAUAAAUGAUCCAAAUUCGUAAAAUUAGAUUCUGUGGGGAAAAUCCCCAUAGCCGUAGGAAUCUGUGAAAGUGCCCAAAUCUGUCGUGCCGAGUGGCACUGAAAGAGUGUAUGAUUGAUCGUUUCCUCUGAUGCGCCACAUCUGGCACACCCCGUGUCACAAUCAAUUCCUCUUUUCUGCAGAUUUUCCGAAACCGGUACACAUCCCGUUAAGAUUUGCCAUAUGAAAUGGCGUAUCUUAGGUGGACACUACACUUGCCAAGAAUAUGCUUUUAACGGGUUGAUGUUAGAGCCAAAAAAGUUUAAAUUGGUCUCCGACUUCUCCAUCCGUGUAGAAUGAUAUCCCGAUUUGACUGUAUAUUUUCCGGAUUUUGUAAAAUGCCAACCCAAAGAAUCUUCUUUUGUUGGCGCACCCACAGGUAUGGCGCUUAUUAGAGCGACAUCUUCUAGAUUAAAGAUCGCUUUUAAGAGAUCAAUAUUCCAAAAGUUCGACCGACUAUCUAUAAGGUCUUUGACUUUUAAAGAUGGGUCAGUAACUGAACCAUUACUUUUUGCUGGUCUCGGGAAUUGAGCUGGAAUCCAGGGAUCCUCCCACACUGAGAUGGAUGUCCCAGAUCCGACUCUUUUAAUAAGUCCUUUAUUAACCAGAGAUCUAGCUGAACAUAUACUCCGCCAUCCAUAUGAUGGAGAAUAUGAUUUUAUAUUUUCCAAAGGAUUGGAUUUCCUAAAAUAUCGUCCUUUAAACACUUUUGCGAAUAGAGAAUCUGGAAUCGUAAUCAACCCCCAUAAUUGUUUUGCUAGUAAAGCUGAAUUAAAAUCGUCCACAUUCCGAAAUCCUAACCCCCCGUCCGAUUUGCUAUUGCACAAUUUGUUCCAUGCCAUCCAGUGCAUACCUCUGGAGUCACCAUUUGAGCUCCACCAGAAAUUUGCUACCGCGCUAGUAAGUUUAUAAGUGAUUGUUUUCGGUAGUCUGAAGCACGACAUAACAUAAGUUGGUAGUGCUGCAGCUACCGAUUUAAUCAUCACUUCUUUUCCCCCUUUUGAUAAAAAUUUGCCGACCAUCCGUUAAUCCUUGUUUGUAGUCUAUCUCUGACAAAAGAGAAAAUUUUUGUCUUAGAGCCCCCUAAACUCUCCGGCAAUCCGAGAUAAGAACCCAUACCACCGAUAUUAGUGAUACCUAAGGUAGAUUUGAUUUUUUCCUUGAUAUCAUCAUCUACCUUGUGUCCAAACUGAAUCGAGGAUUUUAAAAAAUUGAUCUGCUGUCCCGAGACCUCUUCAUACUUCUUUAAAAUCCCCAAAAUUAUCCCGCAUUGGUCCUUGUUAGCCUUGCAAAAAAAUAAACUAUCAUCCGCAAAUAACAAAUGUGAAACCGAAGGGCUUGCAUUUGCCACUUUGAUGCCCGUUAUUAAUAUUUCCCGUUCAGCUUUCCGAAUAUUUGCAAUGAGCACUUCUGUGCAAAGGAUGAAUAAAUAAGGUGAGAGCGGGUCUCCUUGCCGUAAACCCCUCUCUGGUACUAUUAGUCUUCUAGGUUGUCCAUUAAGGAGAACUCUAUAUUGGACCGUUGUAAUACACCACAUUAUCCAUUUAAUCCAUUUCACGGAAACCCAACUUUCUUAAGACCUUCUCGAUGAAAAUCCAUUAUACCCUAUCGUAAGCCUUGCUCAUAUCCGUUUUAAUGGCCAUAAAUUUGCCUUUACAAGACGGGUUAGUUCUCAACCCAUGGAACAUCUCUUUUGCAAUGAGAAUAUUAUCCGAAAUCAAGCGUCCUUCUACAAAAGCCGAUUGUGUUUCCGAAAUCAGUUUUGGGAGCACCGUCUUAAGUCUUUGGCAAAGGAUCUUUGAUAUAAUUUUAUACCCAACAUUGCAAAGACUAAUAGGCCGUAAUUCCGUCAUCCGUGUUGGUCUUUCCGUUUUUGGAAUCAGACAAAUAUUAGUCGUAUUUAGCCGUUUAUCAAAAAUUUCAUCCUCUAAAAAGGAGUUAACCAGACAAAGAAGAUCUGUUUUAAUAGUAAACCAAGCCUUUUGGAAAAAUAAAGCUGUCAUACCAUCAGGUCCAGGCGCUUUUUCCGGGUGCAUCAUAAACAGAGCCGUUCUCACCUCACACUCCGUCGCGGGUACCGUUAGAAAAUUAUUAAUUUGAUCCGUAAUCAAAGUUUGCACUUCUGCGAAAGAUUCCUCAAAAGCCUCAGGAUUAGUUGUAGUAAAUAAUUCCUUAAAAUAAGACACCGCUAUAUUUUGAACAUCUUUAUCCUUUGCCGACCAAACCCCGUUUUCAUCAUGUAACCCCGUUAUUCGAUUCCUAGCCCGUCUUUGUUUUGUUAGUGCAUGGAAAUAAUUUGAAUUAUUAUCCCCUAAUUGCAUCCAACAGCACCUACUUUUCUGAUGCCAAUACAAUUCCUCAUCUCGAUAAGCCUCUUGCAACCGCAAAGUUAAUUCUGUAAUCUCCUCCCUUGGUCUCUUAUCAUCUCUCUGUGCCACAAGUAAUUCCGAUUUUAAUUCCUCAAUUGUUUGCCGCCCAUAGGGAGUUAAAUCUCUCAUCCACUGCGAGAUAGCCCGCCUACAAUUCUUCAAGUUUUCCACAAAAUUUUCCUCUCCUAACUUAGAAUUCCAACCAUUUGAAAUUGCCUCGAGUAAUCCUUCUUUCCCAAUCCAUCUUUUAUCAAACCUGAAAUUUCUUUUUCCACGUGGGACCUUAUCCAUAAGCGUAGCUACCACCGGUGAAUGGUCGGAAGCUACCAUUGGUAAAUAUUCAAUGAACGAAUUGCAGAAUAAUUCAUGCCAAUCUUCGUUUGCUAAAGCUCUAUCCAAACGACACCGAAUUGGUUUCUUAUCCCGCCAACCCCGCCAUGAUAACCAAUCUCCGAUAUAUGGGAAUUCCAAAAGACUGCAAUUCUGGAUCAUUAAAUUAAAAGGGAUAAAAGAAGAUGCAUGUCUUAAAUUACCCCCUCUUUUCUCGUGAUUUCCAGUUAACUCAUUAAAAUCGCCUAUUAAAAACCAGGGUGUGUCUCUAAUCAAAGCGAUCCGUGUUAACCGUUCCCAAACUUGAUCUCUAUUUUUCGGGACCGGAUCACCAUAAACAAAAGUAAGAUGUAUUGUUUUUCCUUUUACCACCGCCUCAACAUCAAUUAAACGAUUACUUUCAUAAAUAAUUGAAACAUUAAAAUCAUUAUUAUAAUAAAGAGCUAAACCGCCACUACAACCAAUAGGAUCAACCGUUUUUAAAUUUUUGUAACCAAAAUGACCGAUAAAUUUUUCCAUAAACCAAGAAGGUUGUUUUGUUUCUGAGAGAAAUAAAAAGUCUGGCCGGUAUUGUUUCCAUAUAUCCCGAAGAUAACCGAUAGUUGCCUUAUUCCCAAAUCUUUGACAGUUCCAACUCAAAACCUUCAUAAAAUAAUUUGAUAUUUUUGUGAGAAUUGCACCUUCCCAGGUACAACACUUCUCUUUUCCCGGGAUCUCCAGGUUGCAUCUAUGACCGAUUUAUAAUUCAUUUUCAUUUCCUUCCCCAGACGAACCAUGAAUACUCCAUAAAUUAAAAACCUUAUUGUAGGAGUAGACAACGUAAUUAUAUAAAUCCAUCCCCAAAGCGCAAUAUAUAUCCAUAAGAACCAUCUACUAUUAACAUAUUUUUGUUUCCACAUUAAAACCCAAGAUUCCAAAAUAAUGUAUAACCGAUAAAAUAUGAAAAUAAACAAAGUUGUCUCCAAACUCCAAACCCACAUUGUAUCCGAGAAUUUGUCUUGCCCUGCUGAUGCAUUUCCCAGUUGAUUCCAUAAGCCAAUCACCUCUAUGAACUUUCGUAUCACCCCUAAAUUUGAAAUCCGGUUAUACCUAUUAGAUAGACCAUGAAAGAGAACCAGCUUACUCCUCCGCUGUAGAAAACGAUAGUAACACAAAUCGAUCAUUUGUCUACAUACACCACCGAGUACAAGCAGUCCGAGACAUGAUGUACCCAAAUCCACCAGCACGAUAGCCAACCCCAAUUGACAAUUCCCCGGAUCUUUUCUCUCUGACUCCGAUAUUGAUAUUCUUGCAUUUUCCAUGGCUACCGGAGCUUGCAGAUCCUUACAGAAAAGAAGCCAAACGUACCCGGAAAUCUCCUUCAUCAUUUGUAACCGAGCAGAGUCUGGUUUCACUACCAAGACCCCUUUGCCAAUUGAAACGGCCUCACAAGCCAGCAUCAACAAAGCCCGAUCGGAACCCUUUAAGCCACCGAGACUCGAAAUCAUGUACGCAAAACCCCAAAUUUCCUCAACUCCUCUCCAGAUCUGAUGAAAAUUCACCGAAUAAAGCCAUAGUUUUCUGAAAACAAACCAGAACAUGAAGGAUUUUGUCCUUUCCCCAAAACAAAACCUGAUAAUCCGAGACUCAAGAUCCAAUUGAACCUUGAAAAAACUAAACCAUCCGAAACCACCGCACAAACCAUACAAUCCGACAAAAAACCAUGAUAAAACCAUAGAAAGACCACCGGAGCAACGCCGCUCAUCGUCGGGAAUCAGCUCCCUAGAGUCUCCACCGUCAUCGUCUUUUCAGUUUUGAGUUUGUUC
rnacentral:lncRNA from 1 species